rnacentral:rRNA from 1 species
UUCCUGUACCACCUAUAAUCGUUUUAAUCGAUGGGGGGACGCAGUAGGAUAGGCGAAGCGUGCGAUUGGAUUGCACGUCUAAGCAGUAAGGCUGAGUAUUAGGCAAAUCCGGUACUCAUUAAGGCUGAGCUGUGAUGGGGAGAAGACAUUGUGUCUUCGAGUCGUUGAUUUCACACUGCCGAGAAAAGCCUCUAGAUAGAAAAUAGGUGCCCGUACCGCAAACCGACACAGGUAGUCAAGAUGAGAAUUCUAAGGUGAGCGAGCGAACUCUCGUUAAGGAACUCGGCAAAAUGACCCCGUAACUUCGGGAGAAGGGGUGCUCUUUAGGGUUAACGCCCAGAAGAGCCGCAGUGAAUAGGCCCAAGCGACUGUUUAUCAAAAACACAGGUCUCUGCUAAACCGUAAGGUGAUGUAUAGGGGCUGACGCCUGCCCGGUGCUGGAAGGUUAAGAGGAGUGGUUAGCUUCUGC